ACACUUCCACAAGACACCAUGAUCAAGCAGGUGGUUUUCCCAGGGCGAGGCUCAUCCCUUUCACUCAGGGUGUGCUGACCCCUGCGAUUUCCCCAAAUGCGGGAGAAUCAACUGCAUAAUUUGUGGGAGUGGAGGACUGCAUUUGUGCUCUCCCCUG
ensembl:snRNA U1 U1 spliceosomal RNA